GACGAACGCUGGCGGCGUGCUUAACACAUGCAAGUCGAACGAAGAGCGAUGGAAGCUUGCUUCUAUCAAUCUUAGUGGCGAACGGGUGAGUAACGCGUAAUCAACCUGCCCUUCAGAGGGGGACAACAGUUGGAAACGACUGCUAAUACCGCAUACGAUCUAAUCUCGGCAUCGAGGAUAGAUGAAAGGUGGCCUCUACAUGUAAGCUAUCACUGAAGGAGGGGAUUGCGUCUGAUUAGCUAGUUGGAGGGGUAACGGCCCACCAAGGCGACGAUCAGUAGCCGGUCUGAGAGGAUGAACGGCCACAUUGGGACUGAGACACGGCCCAGACUCCUACGGGAGGCAGCAGUGGGGAAUCUUCCGCAAUGGACGAAAGUCUGACGGAGCAACGCCGCGUGAGUGAUGACGGCCUUCGGGUUGUAAAGCUCUGUUAAUCGGGACGAAAGGCCUUCUUGCGAACAGUUAGAAGGAUUGACGGUACCGGAAUAGAAAGCCACGGCUAACUACGU
rnacentral:rRNA from 1 species